rnacentral:tRNA from 1 species
GGUGGAGUGGCCGAGAGGCUAGGCACCGGCUCGCAAAGCCGUUUACACAGGUUCGAAUCCUGUCUCCACCUCCA